AUUUAGUGGUAUUUUAGCAGAAAUGAAUGUGUACCUGUGAACCUGUGAACACCUGAGCUGAGGAAGCGGCUGCAGCAGUGCUGUGACGACUCACUGUGGCAGAUAAUCUGCUGGGAAGAUGGACGGCUGACACGCCACAGUCACCAGAUGUUUGGGAGCAGUGACGACAUCUGGGUUAAUAAGGGACCAAUAAAGUUUCAUCUCCUGCCUCCUCUACAGCCACUCCUACAGGCCGUUUCUGUUCAGCGUGGGUGAGCGAGGGGUGACUGCUAAAAGUCCCAUAGCAACAAGCAAAUAAUAAACAGAUUCCAGUAAACAACAUGGAUGGAAGCUCAUAUCCUUGCUGAACAGGGAGUUUCUCAUGGAAAACCGCCGUCUGGGGUUUUGUGUCUGGGGGUCAAGGACCGUAUGCAGCCCGUGUCCUGCCAGAGAAUUUAGAGAAAGCCCUUAAAUUUCCCGGACAAGAGAAGGAUUUCCACAAGAUUGGAGGUACAAGAGUUCAAGGUAACCUCUCCUGCCGCUCCUCCUCACUCCCACACUGCUCUGCUCCGCGGAUCCACAUCACAAUUAAAAGCCAGCAAAAACGCAAAGACGGUUUGUUACAGUUGUGAGGGAAGGAGGUGAUGUAACUCAGGACUGUUUACGAUGUAUUUUUACUUCUAGUGUGAGUGUUAAGUGAUAUUAAACAACAGAUCUUUUUUUAGAAUGAUAGCUUUUAGCCUGAUAGUUUCAGGAUAACUUUGCAUGUUUAAGGACUUAAAGGUUGUAAAUUACUUCUUUAGUGUAUCUGUAGGAUUUAUAUAAAAACUAGUUAAUGUUGAUAUUGUGUAAUGUAGCCUGCACCAGUGUUCUUUGAUAGGAAAGCAGCCGUGUCGACUCUUCCGUCAUCCAGAAAUUCCAAAUAUGCAGAAUGUGUCCACUCCAGUUUUGGUUGGUUAUCAACAAAAUCUCAUAAACUUAAGCUCAUGUGUCUGCCUGCAGUCCGUCUUCUCUGACAUCUGUUGAUGGUUUUAUGAUGUUUGAAAAAGUUUUAAAGCUGCAUUAGUGUUUUUCUCGACCAUUUGGGGGCAGAAGAACUGCAUGAUAGGCUAAACAACACAUCUGGCAAAUCACUGCCUUAUAAAGAUAUUAACUGAUAUAUUUACUGUCACUCUUUUAGUAGAUCCGGCAGAGCGACAUUAUCAGUCAUCUCAAGUCAUAUUUGUGUCCACUUGAUGAGUGAAAGUCUUAAACUCAUGUCUGCUCUGUUUUGCCUCUACCAACUGUUUAAUCAUUACAACAAUAUUGUGUAGCUUUGUUGCAUGUGCAGGAUAGUUCCCCAGAAACAUUUUGUGCGGCCUCUAAAAAUGACCUGAAAUACAUGUAUUAUUUUAUUUGAUUGGUUUAUAUCAUCCACGUUCCAUUUCAUUACUUUCGAUACACUUUGCUUCCAUUUCAUACACCACUCAGCUACUGCAUCAAACUGCGCCCUGUCAGGUUAGAAAUGACAGCUUGUAGAAAACCCCCCAGUCGCCAGAAUAAAAUAUUGGCGUUGUACAUCUCUGCAAACCACAGAUAUGUUACAUUUGUACAUUUCCUACAUAUAAUAUUAACAUUUCUAAAGUGUUGUAGUUUAGGUUAUAUGUCUAUGAGCUGAGUUUCUCAUCGGUAGGUGAAGGGGAUGGUGGAUGGUGUGACAACUGCUGCCAAGCAACAGACAGCAACAGACGACUGCUCGAGACCAACAAAUAAGAAAUUGGCGCACUGUUGAACUGUCAUGACCCUGAGUAAACCAAGCAACUGAGAGACGAGCAGCCCUCCCGAGAGCCAUCAGCCACAUCCACGAGAAGUGCAGAAAGGAGACGUGCAGCUGACAGCGUCCGCCAAUGCCGUUCUGCUCAGGCCUGGGUCUGCAGCAGGAAGUCUGUAGCCCAGGAAGUUGGAGCAAUUUGGGCUGUCAGCGCGCGGGGCUGUCAAUGGAGUCACCUGCUGUUCUACUGCUGAUUCACAAUCAACCAAUAGCACAGUCCUUCUCUGUUGGCCUAUCACCGGUAACACUUUACUUGAAGCGGUGCGCACCCUCCACGUCCCCAUCACCGCCUAGUCUUCUCAGAUUCAUCAGCCAUCAGCCUCAGAGUCAUCAGCCACCAACCCUUCCACCAGUAUCUGGACUCUAUAGGAGGAUUUAUCCUGCUGCUGCUCAGAUGUCCCCCAGUGUCCAAGCACCAAAGACUUCUGUUACAUCUUAAUCAGUAUAAUCAUCCUUUAAUCCGCACACUCAUAUACUAUAUGAAACAAAUCUUCGCUUGAUUCAUCUGUCUCACCUGGUUGAAAUACACAAUUAAUAUGUUUAAGUCUUGUUUAGUUACCAAGAGCACAUGUGGUUGAGCAAACAGAGCUGAAUGUCGCUGUGACACUUUCUGGGCUAAAAGGGAACAUUCUCCACCAUCAUUUUAUUGUUACAGAGCGGCGUUGACAGUAGACUUUACACAGAAGUUCCAAAUGAGGCUGACUUACCCUUUUGGCCCUUUUUAAGCGGCCUCAGAAACUAUUUUAGAAAAUGUCAAACAAGCUCUGAAAUUCAGGUCAGUGAAAUGAUCUCAUUUCAGCUGUAAAAUAUGCAACUGUACAACUCUGAGCAGGCCGACCACCUCGGCUGCAUGCAGAUUAUGGCUGAAAUAAGGCAGGAUGACCUUACAGUGCUGAGAGGAGUUUGGGAAAUAUAAAUCAGGGUUGGGCAGACCCGUCGAGAAGCUGCAAGUCCUCCAGAGCCACAUCACACUGCCUCAACUUAAAACAAUGGUUUAAUUUAAUCACAUCUCCACUGUUUGUGAAAACAGCACAUAGACAAACAAAAAUACUAUUUUGAUUGGUUUGCUGGUGAAUUAAGCACUUAAAUAUGAGGGAGUCAUGUGUAUAAACCCCUCCAGUGUUUCUAUUCUAACAUAGUUAAAUCUACUCUAUAAGAGCUGCUGCACAUUGGCAGCUCCAAGUGGCAACAAGAGGGAACUGUUUUAAAGGUGUGACACUUUCAAUCCACCUCAGACAGCAUGUUAAUGUUUACUCGCGAUAAUUUAUAAGAGAGAAAAGACAGAAGAAUAUCUGAUGUUGUUAAAGGAAAUGUGAGCAGAAUCAGCAGAGGAACACUUAACAAGUUAGGGGUUUAAAUUUUAUGUGUGGUAAAUUAUUACCUGUGUAGAAUAAGGACAGACAGCAGGUACUGUAACCCUCUGAUUAAGGUUUUAUUGAUCUACUUGUAAAAGCCACAGAAAGUCACCUGGAUAGUCUACAGGUACAUAAUGACAAAAAAGGUGUCCAUCCAUCCAUCCCUCCAGUGUGUUCUGGGUCUGCCCCGGGGCCUCCUACCAGUGGGAUGUGCCUUGAACAUCUCUAACAGGAGGCGCCCAGGAGGCAUCCUGAUCAGAUGCCUGAACCACCUCAACUGACGCCUUUCGACACAAAGGAGCAGCGGCUCUACUCCGAGCUCCCUCCGGAUGUCUGAGCUCCUCACCCUAUCUCUAAGGCUGAGCCCAGCCAGAAGAAGGUGUGUGGAAUUUAAUUCAGAAACAACCAUUCCUGUAUGAAAACUCAUAAGUGUAUCAGAUCCACUGGAAGAGGUGUAAACUACUUAAUGUUGAAGUUCUAACCCUUUGGCUUCACUUUUGUUUAUCACAUGUCCCACAUCAUAUUUGACUGUGAGACUCUCCAAACUUGUUUGGGUGUAACAUUUUUGUAACUUGUGACUUGUCUUGAAAAAAUGUGCUGAGAUUUCUAAUCAGUCACCUCAACAAACACUGUUAACAUCUCUGUUGUCACCGUGCCACAGUGUCACCAUUUUGGCACCUUUCAGGUACCUGCAAAAGGAGGAAGUUAUGAAGUGGAUACAGUAACAUGAGCACUUUUUAAAACUUUGCAAAGCAGCUCAACAACGGCCUCAGAAAUGACCGCAGAGUUGAAUCAACAUAAAAAUGAACACAAAUCAGUUGUAAGGCUGUUAUAAAUUGCACAGAUGCUCAGGCUGCCAAAGGCAAAAACUAAGGCAAAGAGCAAAGUGCAAUAAACAGUGACUUGACUAGAAAAACAAGUUUUUUAAUAUCCAGGCUGGCAGAGAGCUGGAACUUAAGAUGUUUCUUCUUGUUGAUUUAUCUAAUCUUUAAAAGAUUGACAACAGUGGUGUAGUGGAGGGUAUAUUGCAGGUAUUCAGGGUAUACCCAUCUCUUUUUCUGGCCGUUAAGAGUAUACUCACCUAUCAGCCAAAAAGCAAUUGGAAUAUACAGUGGUGGAAAAAAGUUUUCGGACACCCUUAAAAUUUUACACAAUCUCAAAUAUUAUCAUGAAAUAUUUGUGGAAAAAUCUUUUUUGUGUUUCAAAAGGUGUGGCUGCAUUAGACAGAUACAAACAAAUACAAAUUAUAUUUUUUUGUUUAUUGUUCACAAGAAAAACAAACAACAAAACUAAGUUCUUGACAGUUUCAAUAUGUCAGUUCUCAACAUUGUCGGUAUCAAAGUCAACAAAUAACAGAGAAUGUGUUCAAAACUGAACAAAAAAUAAAUAAACCAUCACAUCAUCAAAUUAAUAUUUAGUAGUCCUGCCAUUGGCACGUAGUAGAGCUCUAAUCCUGGCUGGCAUGUUCCCCACGAGCCUUUCACACUGUUGAGGGGUAAUCUUGUCCCAUUCUUCUUGAAUUACUGCUUUUAAUUCUUCUAAAUUCUUUGGUUUAUGCUUUGAAACAGACCUUUUGAUAAUCCACCACAGAUUUUCAAUGGGGCUCAUGUCCGGGGAUUGAGCUGGCCACUCUAAGACCUGGAUACUGUGCUCCUGCAGCCAAGUUCUACUGGCCUUGGAUGUGUGGCAAGGGGCAUUAUCUUGUUGACACAUCCAGUU